rnacentral:rRNA from 1 species
UUUAAAUUGAGAGUUUGAUCCUGGCUCAGGACGAAYGCUGGCGGCGUGCCUAACACAUGCAAGUCGAGCGAUGAAACCCUUCGGGGUGGAUUAGCGGCGGACGGGUGAGUAACACGUGGGUAACCUGCCUCAAAGAGGGGAAUAGCCUCCCGAAAGGGAGAUUAAUACCGCAUAAUAUGUUUUGGUCGCAUGACCUUUACAUCAAAGGAUUUUUCUUUUAGAGAAUUCCACUUUGAGAUGGACCCGCGGCGCAUUAGCUAGUUGGUGAGGUAACGGCCCACCAAGGCAACGAUGCGUAGCCGACCUGAGAGGGUGAUCGGCCACAUUGGAACUGAGACACGGUCCAGACUCCUACGGGAGGCAGCAGUGGGGAAUAUUGCGCAAUGGGGGAAACCCUGACGCAGCAACGCCGCGUGAAUGAUGAAGGCCUUCGGGUU